GAUGAACGCUGGCGGCGUGCCUAAAACAUGCAAGUCGAGCGGCAGCGAGUUCCUCGCUAAUGUUCGGAUUUGUUUACCAAUGAUGCAAGUAAUUUAGUCAGAGUAACAAAGUAACGACUAGUUGUUUAAGUUAAAAGGUAGAUUUAAUAUUCCGGAUAUGAGCGAGGAAUGUCGGCGAGCGGCGGACGGCUGAGUAGCGCGUAGGAACAUACCCCAAAGUGAGGCAUAACCGCCCGAAAGGGUGGCUAAUACCGCAUAUUGUCUUCGGAUGAAAGCUUUUAGCGCUUUGGGAAUGGCCUGCGUUUGAUUAGCUAGUUGGUGAGGUAAGGGCUUACCAAGGCGAUGAUCAAUAGCUGGUUUGAGAGAAUGAUCAGCCAGACUGGAACUGAGACACGGUCCAGACUCCUACGGGAGGCAGCAGUUGGGAAUUUUCCACAAUGGGCGAAAGCCUGAUGGAGCAACGCCGCGUGCAGGAAGAAUGCUUCGGUGUAA
rnacentral:rRNA from 1 species